rnacentral:lncRNA from 1 species
GCCCAUUGCCAACCCAAACUAUGGUAUGAGGGAGAAAAAAUUAUACUUUGUUUGGUUUGUUAUUUCCUCCUCCAGUCAGGAGGAAGGAAAAGGAGUUGCUCUGUAAAGAUAAGGGCCUCGGUUUCCUUCCAUUUUUGGUCAUCAGGGAGUGAGUGGAAAAUAUUUGCAAACGACCCCGAAGAGAGGCACACUGAUAUUCUCUCAUUCUGUUAUUUAGUCUACCCAAGGAGAGCACCACACGACUCUGAAGAUCUGUCCCAUCUCCUCUCAAUCCCUCAUUCAUUGGUCACCAGAACACACAAGGGAGCCAUUGCUGAGAAAAUGCAGUGCCAGAGAGAGAAGAUAUUCAUAUUGAUCCUCUUUGCUGCGCUCUCUCACAGGGUAAGAGUUUUGACCAAACACAUUUUUGUUUUGUAAGAUUGAAUUGAUUGUUGUGGGAAAAGUAUCCAAUUGUCAUACUUGAGUAAAAGUAUAGAUACACAACCGUUCAAAAGUUUGGGGUCACUUGGAAAUGUCCUUGUUUUCCAUGAAAACAUACAUGAAAUUAGUUGCACAAUGAAUGGGAAAUAUAGUCAAGAUGUUGACAAGGUUAUAAAUAAUGAUUUUUAAUUGAAAUAAUAAUUGUGUCCUUCAAACUUUGCUUUCGUCAAAGAAUCCUCCGUUUGCAGCAAUUAUAGCCUUGCAGACCUUCGGCAUUCUAGUUGUCAAUUUGUUGAGAUAAUCUGAAGAGAUUUCACCUCAUGCUUCCUGAAGGACCUCCCACAAGUUGGAUUGGCUUGAUGGGAACUUCUUACGUACCAUACGGUCAAGCUGCUCCCACAAUAGUUCAAUAGGGUUGAGAUCCGGUGAUUGUGCUGGCCACUCCAUUAUAGACAGAAUACCAGCUGACUGCUUCUUCCCUAAAUAGUUCUUGCAUAGUUUGGAGCUGUGCUUUGGGUCGUUGUCCUGUUGUAGGAGGAAAUUGGCUCCAAUUAAGUGCCGUCCACAGGGUAUGGCAUGGCGUUGCAAAAUAGAGUGAUAACCUUCCUUCUUCAAGAUCCCUUUUACCCUGUACAAAUCUCACACUUUACCACCACCAAAG